ACUCCGUGCCAGCAGCCGCGGUAAUACGGAGGGUGCAAGCGUUAUCCGGAUUUAUUGGGUUUAAAGGGUCCGCAGGCGGGAUUCUAAGUCAGUGGUGAAAGCCUACAGCUCAACUGUAGAACUGCCAUUGAUACUGGAAUUCUUGAGUGUGGUUGAAGUAGACGGAAUAUGUCAUGUAGCGGUGAAAUGCAUAGAUAUGACAUAGAACACCAAUUGCGUAGGCAGUUUACUAAACCAUUACUGACGCUCAUGGACGAAAGUGUGGGGAGCGAACAGGAUUAGAUACCCUGGUAGUCCACACCGUAAACUAUGAUCACUAGAUGUUGGCGAUAUACAGUCAGUGUCUUAGAGAAAUCGUUAAGUGAUCCACCUGGGGAGUACGUUCGCAAGAAUGAAACUCAAAGGAAUUGACGGGGGCCCGCACAAGCGGUGGAGCAUGUGGUUUAAUUCGAUGAUACGCGAGGAACCUUACCAAGGCUUAAAUGUAAAACGACCGACUGAGAAAUCAGUCCUUUUUCGAACGAUUUACAAGGUGCUGCAUGGUUGUCGUCAGCUCGUGCCGUGAGGUGUCGGGUUAAGUCCCAUAACGAGCGCAACCCCUAUCUUUAGUUGCCAGCGAGUAAUGUCGGGAACUCUAGAGAGACUGCCCGUGCAAACGGAGAGGAAGGUGGGGAUGACGUCAAAUCAUCACGGCCCUUAUGUCUUGGGCUACACACGUGCUACAAUGGUCAGUACAGUGGGAUGCCAUCUGGUGACAGAGAGCAAAUCCAUAAAGCUGAUCCCAGUUCGGAUCGGAGUCUGCAACUCGACUCUGUGAAGUUGGAAUCGCUAGUAAUCGCACAUCAGCCAU
rnacentral:rRNA from 1 species